rnacentral:rRNA from 1 species
UGCAGAGGGUGCGAGCGUUGUUCGGAAUUACUGGGCGUAAAGCGCGCGCAGGCGGCCCUUUAAGUCUACCCGUGAAAUGCCGGAGCUCAACUCCGUGCACGCCGGGGGAUACUGGAGGACUGGAGACGAGUAGAGGCAAGCGGAAUUCCGGGUGUAGCGGUGGAAUGCGUAGAGAUCCGGAAGAACACCGGAGGCGAAGGCGGCUUGCUGGGCUUGGUCUGACGCUGAGGCGCGAAAGCGUGGGGAGCGAACAGG